rnacentral:rRNA from 1 species
CCUACGGGUGGCAGCAGUGGGGGAUAUUGCACAAUGGGGGAAACCCUGAUGCAGCGACGCCGCGUGGGUGAAGAAGUAUUUCGGUAUGUAAAGCCCUAUCAGCAGGGAAGAAAGAAGACGGUACCUGACUAAGAAGCCCCGGCUAACCACGUGCCAGCAGCCGCGGUAAUACGUAGGGGGCGAGCGUUAUCCGGAUUCACUGGGGGUAAAGGGAGCGUAGACGGGCGUGCAAGCCAGGAGUGAAAGCCCGGGGCCCAACCCCGGGACUGCACUUGGAACUGUGCGGCUGGAGUGCGGGAGGGGCAGGCGGAAUUCCUGGUGUAGCGGUGAAAUGCGUAGAUAUCAGGAGGAACACCGGCGGCGAAGGCGGCCUGCUGGACCGCGACUGACGUUGAGGCUCGAAAGCGUGGGGAGCGAACAGGAUUAGAUACCCGGGUAGUC